GGGUAAUUAGCUCAGUGGUAGAGCGUCCGACUCUUAAUCGGUAGGCCAAGAGUUCGAAUCUCUUAUUACUCA
rnacentral:tRNA from 1 species